GACGAACGCUGGCAGCGUGCUUAACACAUGCAAGUCGAACGGAAAGGCCCUGCUUUGGUGGGGUGCUCGAGUGGCGAACGGGUGAGUAACACGUGAGUAACCUGCCCUUGACUUUGGGAUAACUUCAGGAAACUGGGGCUAAUACCGGAUAGGAGCUCCUGCUGCAUGGUGGGGGUUGGAAAGUUUCGGCGGUUGGGGAUGGACUCGCGGCUUAUCAGCUUGUUGGUGGGGUAGUGGCUUACCAAGGCUUUGACGGGUAGCCGGCCUGAGAGGGUGACCGGCCACAUUGGGACUGAGAUACGGCCCAGACUCCUACGGGAGGCAGCAGUGGGGAAUAUUGCACAAUGGGCGGAAGCCUGAUGCAGCAACGCCGCGUGCGGGAUGACGGCCUUCGGGUUGUAAACCGCUUUCGCCUGUGACGAAGCGUGAGUGACGGUAAUGGGUAAAGAAGCACCGGCUAACUACGUG
rnacentral:rRNA from 1 species